rnacentral:rRNA from 1 species
AAGAUUUUAAAGGUCGAACAGACCUAAUCAAUUUCAGCUUCUGCACCGAAAAUUCACCUUAAUCCAACAUCGAGGUCGCAAACCUCCCCGCCAAUAAGAACUCUCAAGGAAGAUAACG